rnacentral:rRNA from 1 species
GAUGAACGCUAGCGGCAGGCUUAAUACAUGCAAGUCAAGGGGGUAGCAAUACAACCGGCGCACGGGUGAGUAACGCGUACACAACAUACCAUAUACUGGGGUAUAGCUUUGGGAAACUGAAGGUAAUCCCCAUAACAUUGCGAGAGGGCAUCUGAUUGCAAUUAAAGUUUCGGCGGUAUAUGAUUGGUGUGCGUUUGAUUAGCUAGUUGGUAGGGUAACGGCCUACCAAGGCGACGAUCAAUAGCUGGCGUGAGAGCGCGACCAGCCACACUGGAACUGAGACACGGUCCAGACUCCUACGGGAGGCAGCAGUAGGGAAUAUUGGACAAUGGAGGAAACUCUGAUCCAGCCAUGCCGCGUGAUAGAUGAAGGCCCUCCUGGGUUGUAAAUAUCUUUUAUCUGGAAGAAACAAUCUUAUUCUUAAGAUCUUGACGGUACCAGAGGAAUAAGCACCGGCUAACUCCGUGCCAGCAGCCGCGGUAA